AGCGAACGCUGGCGGCAGGCCUAACACAUGCAAGUCGAACGGAUCCUUCGGGAUUAGUGGCGGACGGGUGAGUAACACGUGGGAACGUGCCCUUUGGUUCGGAACAACUCAGGGAAACUUGAGCUAAUACCGGAUGUGCCCUUCGGGGGAAAGAUUUAUCGCCAUUGGAGCGGCCCGCGUCUGAUUAGCUAGUUGGUGAGGUAAAGGCUCACCAAGGCGACGAUCAGUAGCUGGUCUGAGAGGAUGAUCAGCCACAUUGGGACUGAGACACGGCCCAAACUCCUACGGGAGGCAGCAGUGGGGAAUCUUGCGCAAUGGGCGAAAGCCUGAUGCAGCCAUGCCGCGUGAAUGAUGAAGGUCUUAGGAUUGUAAAAUUCUUUCACCGGGGACGAUAAUGACGGUACCCGGAGAAGAAGCCCCGGCUAACUUCGUGCCAGCCGCCGCGGUA
rnacentral:rRNA from 1 species